UACGGGGGGAGCAAGCGUUGUUCGGAUUUACUGGGCGUAAAGGGCGCGUAGGCGGCCACCGCAAGUCGACUGUGAAAUCUCCGGCUUAACCCGGAAAGGUCAGCCGAUACUGCGGGGCUAGAGUGCAGAAGGGGCAACUGGAAUUCUCGGUGUAGCGGUGAAAUGCGCAGAUAUCAGGAGGAACACCGGUGGCGAAGGCGGCAUCCUGGACCGGCAUUGACGCUGAGGCGCGAAAGCCAGGAGGAGCAAACGGGG
rnacentral:rRNA from 1 species